UUCUUCUAUCACUGGCUUUUGCUCUUCCUCAAAUCCGGAUCAUCGUUUUUGGAUCUCAGUUUUGCCUCAAAUGUUUCUUCGAUGUUGCUCUAAUCCUUAGUUACAGUACUUGAGUUGGACCAACACAGCUCCAAAAGGUGGUACCAAAAGCAUUUCAAGUUGUACUAUAAGGCCUCAUAAUUUUUUGCCCUUUGUGGCCCAAUUUUAUUGGCUCUUCUACACGUGGAAGGAUGAUAAAAUUAUACAACACAAGUACAUAUGCUCAAAACGCUCAUUUGAAGCAAGCUCUUUCAAUUAUGAAUUUUCAUCUUUAACUCAGAACCCUUCAAGAUUGAAUUUUAUACUACAUGUUAUUGGCCUCUCUAACUAUUAUUCUUGAUGAACUACUCUCUAUACUAAAUUGGAUGGAUUUUCUACAUGAUGAACAAGGGUAGUGAUAGACCUGUGCUUUGAAAAGCAAGAUAAUCCUAAUUUGGCAGUGAGAGGCUUCUCAUUCAUCGAUGAUGUUGAGAGAUUAGUUGAAGCUGAAUGCCCUGGAGUUGUUUCUUGUGCUGGGAUUAUCGUGUUGGUUGCUAGAGAUGCACUUGUGGUUACGGUGUUCAAAAGUUGUCGUGUGAGAUCAUAUGAAUGGAUUGUUGGUGUUCUGUGGUAAUACGAAGUUCUACUUUAAAGUUUACAGACUAGCUUCAUGUUACAUAUGAAUAACAAGACUCAAUCAUACAUAGAAGACGGUCCAUGUUCUAAGGUAUGAAGCUUGCAUUUAAUAUGUCUCUCAUUUUUCUUGAUUUUGGUGUCUCUGCAUUAUCAGAUAAUAUAAUGUAUCACAUGAAAAUUGACGAGGGUCAUAGAUGUCUAGCAUGUAUUGUUUGCAUCAGACGUUUUAAGUUGAGCUUUAGUGGUGGAGUAGCAGUUCUAUUCUAAAUUUAUUGCCUUUAAGCCUUCGUGCUCUGGAAUUCUGUAGAUCAGGUGAACCUCAAUUGGGAUCCUCUCUUUUCCCGUGACACAUUUCUUUUUUUGAGGCGGUUUCUUUUUCUCAAUCUUACCAUUUAUAUCUACUGAUUGUUGAACCCAAAAAAAAUACAGAAAUAUCUAU